CCAAAUAGUAGAGUGUUAGUACAAGCUAGAUCCAGCAGAGCAACUUAAACUUUAGUACACAGAUUACAAACUUACAGACCUUGCCCAUGGGUCACGCUCACUCUUCUUCGUCGUCAGCCUCGACGACGGUCAUACAACAGGGUCCGAAACAUGUCGGCUCUUGAACCUCACCUACAACAGGGGUUAUGAAACCCUGAGUACGGGAGUACUCAACAAGACUUGCCCGGCGGAAAAAAGAGGAGAAAUUAGGGAUGCAGGCUU
rnacentral:lncRNA from 1 species